rnacentral:sRNA from 1 species
AAGAAAAGGCAAAGGAUGAUCACCUUUGCCUUUUUUAAUUUCUUUUAUUGGGGCUUCAUCCAAGGAAAAUACAAGACAUCACGG